AAUAACAGACUUCACUCCAACCAAUCUGAAUUCACAUAAUUUCUGUAAUCACCAACUUCUUUUGUCCAAAACACACACAACUCUCAAUAAACAACAAUCAUAAUGUUCUAAAAACUCAUCAUAUAAUUAAAUCACUCGGUACUCCAAUUACAUAAUCAAUAAUUUAUAAAUCAAUCUCUGAUUUAUUCUACACACUCACUUCUCAGUAUUCAGAAAGUAUCAAUUAUUCUUCA
rnacentral:lncRNA from 1 species